GAUCCUGGCUCAGGACGAACGCUGGCGGCGCGCCUAACACAUGCAAGUCGAACGAGAGAGAGGGAGCUUGCUUCCUCGAUCGAGUGGCGAACGGGUGAGUAACGCGUGAGGAACCUGCCUCAAAGAGGGGGACAACAGUUGGAAACGACUGCUAAUACCGCAUAAGCCCACGGCUCGGCAUCGAGCAGGGGGAAAAGGAGCAAUCCGCUUUGAGAUGGCCUCGCGUCCGAUUAGCUAGUUGG
rnacentral:rRNA from 1 species